CUCUAUCUACUCAACAGCUGAGGCUCCUUGAAGAGACUUCCCCUUUUCUAAUGAAGUGGCAGACGAAUAACAUGGCUCACUGUCUGCGCUGUGAAGUCAGGCCAGGACCAAAAUAAGGUUACAGCAUCUAGCUUCCUGGCUCAGCACCCCCCUCAGCCCUGAACAAACGUUCUCAGCAGCACAGGUGGACUGAGCCCUGAAGACUGAAGCUCUCUCUCCAUAGAGCAGGGAAGUGCAAUAGCAGCAGAAAGUCCAUUCCAGAAAGGUACAUGGAUUUGGCAGCAGAGAUCAUUCAGUGGGGACCCCCUCUGUUGGGAUGCUUCAGAGAGGAGGGAUCAGAAUGUUCCCUAGGAAGAGGCUGAGUCAGGAGUAUCAGUCAUGAUUUGGGAAUCUGAGCCACGCCCUGACUGGUACCAUAAGAGGCUGUCACUAGUCAGUGGGGGCACAGGGAGCACUGAAGGACAUAGUAACAAGGUCUCCUAACAGCGUUUUACAGGGAACAACCAUGACAUGGGUGUUAUGUAAUGCAGAUGGAGCCUUAAAAGUAGUAAGGAAAAAAUAAA